rnacentral:rRNA from 1 species
CCUACGGGAGGCAGCAGUGGGGAAUAUUGCGCAAUGGGCGAAAGCCUGACGCAGCGACGCCGCGUGAGGGAUGAAGGUCUUCGGAUCGUAAACCUCUGUCAGCAGGGAAGAACGGACUUUGUGUUAAUCAGCAGUGAAUUGACGGUAACUGCAAAGGAAGCACCGGCUAACUCCGUGCCAGCAGCCGCGGUAAUACGGAGGGUGCGAGCGUUAAUCGGAAUUACUGGGCGGAAAGCGCUCGUAGGCGGUAUGUCAAGUCAAGGGUGAAAUCCCCGCGCUCAACGUGGGAACUGCCUUUGAAACUGGCAAGCUAGAGUGUGUGAGAGGAUAGUGGAAUGGCAGGGGUAGGGGUGAAAUCCGUAGAUAUCGGGAGGAACAUCAGUGGCGAAGGCGACUAUCUGGCACAUAACUGACGCUGAGGAGCGAAAGCGUGGGGAGCAAACAGGAUUAGAUACCCGGGUAGUC